rnacentral:rRNA from 1 species
UACGGAGGGUGCAAGCGUUAUCCGGAUUUACUGGGUUUAAAGGGUGCGUAGGUGGGUCUGUAAGUCAGUGGUGAAAUCUCCGAGCUUAACUCGGAAACUGCCAUUGAUACUAUAGAUCUUGAAUAUCCUGGAGGUGAGCGGAAUAUGUCAUGUAGCGGUGAAAUGCUUAGAUAUGACAUAGAACACCAAUUGCGAAGGCAGCUCACUACGGGAUUAUUGACACUGAGGCACGAAAGCGUGGGGAUCAAACAGGAUUAGAUACCCUGGUAGUCCACGCCCUAAACGAUGGAUACUCGACAUCAGCGAUACACUGUUGGUGUCUGAGCGAAAGCAUUAAGUAUCCCACCUGGGAAGUACGAUCGCAAGAUUG